rnacentral:rRNA from 1 species
AACGAACGCUGGCGGCAGGCCUAACACAUGCAAGUCGAACGGCAGCGCGGGGGCAACCCUGGCGGCGAGUGGCGAACGGGUGAGUAAUAUAUCGGAACGUACCCAAGAGUGGGGGAUAACGUAGCGAAAGUUACGCUAAUACCGCAUACGAUCUAAGGAUGAAAGCAGGGACCGCAAGGCCUUGUGCUCCUGGAGCGGCCGAUAUCUGAUUAGCUAGUUGGUGGGGUAAAGGCCUACCAAGGCAUCGAUCAGUAGCUGGUCUGAGAGGACGACCAGCCACACUGGGACUGAGACACGGCCCAGACUCCUACGGGAGGCAGCAGCGGGGAAUUUUGGACAAUGGGGGCAACCCUGAUCCAGCAAUGCCGCGUGAGUGAAGAAGGCCUUCGGUUGUAAGCUCUUUGUUCAGGGAGAACGGUUGUGGCUAUAUCCAUGGCUAAUGACGGUACCUGAAGAAUAAGCACCGGCUAACUACGUGCCAGCAGCCGCGGUAAU